rnacentral:rRNA from 1 species
UGGGGAAUAUUGCACAAUGGGCGCAAGCCUGAUGCAGCCAUGCCGCGUGUGUGAAGAAGGCCUUCGGGUUGUAAAGCACUUUCAGCGGGGAGGAAGGCGGUGAGGUUAAUAACCUCAUCGAUUGACGUUACCCGCAGAAGAAGCACCGGCUAACUCCGUGCCAGCAGCCGCGGUAAUACGGAGGGUGCAAGCGUUAAUCGGAAUUACUGGGCGUAAAGCGCACGCAGGCGGUCUGUCAAGUCGGAUGUGAAAUCCCCGGGCUCAACCUGGGAACUGCAUUCGAAACUGGCAGGCUAGAGUCUUGUAGAGGGGGGUAGAAUUCCAGGUGUAGCGGUGAAAUGCGUAGAGAUCUGGAGGAAUACCGGUGGCGAAGGCGGCCCCCGGGACAAAGACUGACGCUCAGGUGCGAAAGCGUGGGGAGCAAACAGG